rnacentral:rRNA from 1 species
UACGGAGGAUGCAAGCGUUAUCCGGAAUGAUUGGGCGUAAAGCGUCCGCAGGCGGCAAUGUAAGUCUGCUGUCAAAGCGUCUGGCUCAACCAGAUAAAGGCAGUGGAAACUACAUAGCUAGAGUAAGGUAGGGGUAGAGGGAAUUCCUGGUGUAGCGGUGAAAUGCGUAGAGAUCAGGAAGAACACCGGUGGCGAAAGCGGUCUGCUGGGCCUUAACUGACGCUGAGGGGCGAAAGCUAGGGGAGCGAAUGGG